rnacentral:rRNA from 1 species
GCCUGUGGCCAAAUCUCCCGGAAUGUGCCUGAUCUCAUCAGAUCUUGGAAGCUAAGCAUGGGUGAACCUGGAUAGUGCUUGAAUAGAUGAGGGGAGCAGAGGGCA